rnacentral:rRNA from 1 species
UACGAAGGGGGCUAGCGUUGCUCGGAAUCACUGGGCGUAAAGGGUGCGUAGGCGGGUUUUUAAGUCAGAGGUGAAAUCCUGGAGCUCAACUCCAGAACUGCCUUUGAUACUGAAAGUCUUGAGUAUGGGAGAGGUGAGUGGAACUGCGAGUGUAGAGGUGAAAAUUCGUAGAUAUUCGCAAGAACACCAGUGGCGAAGGCGGCUCACUGGCCCAUUACUGACGCUGAGGCACGAAAAGCGUGGGGAGCAAACAGG